GGAACCGUGCCCGAAUGCCCAGGGACCACUUUGAUAGAGUGGCGUAUAGGGGCUAAAAUCCCCUCGGUUCUU
rnacentral:tRNA from 1 species